CACUUCCCGGACCUGAACCGGUUCCCAGGCGCCCCCUGGUGGAUCAGCCUUGCACGACGCACAUAAAACACUAACAUCAUGGCGGCCACAACAAGACUCAUUUCAAGGUUGGCGCUGGUCACAGGAGGGGGCAGCGGGAUCGGCCGCGCGGUGUGUCAGCGAUUCGCCUCUGAGGGCGCGCUGGUGGUGGUGGCGGACCUGAACGAGGAGGCGGCCAAUGAGACGCUGCGCAGCCUGUCACGUGACCACAAAGUACAAGAACACAUGGCGGCGGCGGUGGACGUCUCGUCCAAGCAGAGCGUUGAGGACUUGGUGGAGAGCAUACAGCGCCGCUACUUCCAGCCGGCGUCGGUGUGCGUGAACGCGGCGGGAAUCACGCAGGACGACUUCCUGUUGCGGCUGGAGGAGGCGGCCUUCGACCGCGUGGUCGGCGUGAACCUCAAGGGGACCUUCCUGGUCGUUCAGGCCGUUGCCGCGGCGAUGGUGGCCAGCGGAGUAUCCAAAGGUUCCAUCGUUACCGUGGGCAGCAUCGUGGGCAAGGUGGGCAACAUUGGGCAGGUUAACUACUCGGCGUCCAAGGCAGGUGUGGAGGGAAUAACCAGAACGGCCGCCAAAGAACUCAGCAGGUACAGGAUCCGAUGUAACUGCGUCCUGCCGGGGUUCAUCUCCACCCCCAUGACUGACAAGGUCCCGGAGCGAGUGAUUCACAAGGUGAGGGGAGAGGGAUCCACACGGUGAGGGGAGAGUGAUCCACAAGAUGACGUCGCUGGUGCCUCUGGGGAGGAUGGGCGAGCCGGCUGAGGUUGCAGAUGUUUGUUCCUUCCUCGCGUCGGACGACUCUCGCUACAUCACGGGCACCAGCAUCGAGGUCACCGGAGGGCUUUUCAUGGGAUAGAGACGGCGUCGCCAUGGAUACACAGAACCUCUCAUUGGUCGAGCCAGCUGUCAAUCACGACGGCAGCGGGUGCCUUUUGGACUGUGGACGGCGGACAUCUUUAAUUAAUUAUUAAUUCUGAAGAAAUCAACUUGAUUGCCUAUUUUCUUUGUAAUUAUUACAUUUGUAAAUGCUGUAUAUUUGUGAACGAUCCUGUAAUAAAUUACAAUUUGUAUAAAAACA